rnacentral:ncRNA from 1 species
UACCUAAAUUGGCAAACUUCUUGAAAAAGAGGGACGCAAAGCCACGAGUCUAAGGCUGCAAAGCUAUGAUCGUCGGGUUGCAAAU